rnacentral:pre_miRNA from 1 species
UAAGCUGAACACUGAAUAGUGUCUAGGUUGCAGGACAGAUUCCAACAUCUCUGUUGUUGCUACAAUUUGAACUUAAAAACGGUCCUUUUGAAUCUUGGACUCUAAUGAAAGUUUUAGACCUA